GUAAACAUCUCUGUGUAUCCAGGGAGCCGUGUGUAUACUAAACAUAAACCUUGGAAACUCUAAAAGUGAAGGAAAGACUGGAGACGAGGUGCAGCCCCUGAGAAUCUGUGGUUCUCCCGUGUAUUCCUUCACUAUGGAGAGAGAAGACCCUCACAGGACAAUCUCAGAAGCUACAGAACUGGUUCACAGAACACAGCAUCCAACGUUCCCAGAUAAAAUGUAAGUGAAGUCAGUUUUCAAGCUGUAAUUGCUACAUAAUCCAAUUUUAUUAUUACAAAAAAUAUUCAUUAAAAACUAAUGUAUAUUAUAUACCUAACUUUUGCUUUUUGUUUGUU
rnacentral:lncRNA from 1 species